CUUAAACAUGUUUACAAAUCAAGUUCAUCAUGUAGAAUAGAAUAAGUAUAUAUAAUAAGAAUAUCAAUAGCAACAUAAUUAAUUAUAAUUAAUAAGAAAACACAAAGUACAAUAGGUUUUUGUCACACCGGGAGAAGGCAAAGAUAUAAUAAUAGAUAAUCACCCAUUAUUUAUAAUGAGGACUAGCACGUACACAUGACCAAAUUAUUAUUACGUAAUAUGCAUGCAAAUAUUUAUUUAGGGUGAAAACUCAGGUGUAGUCGACUUCACGUGAAGUUGAUAGUUGAGAGCCGUUAGAUAAAAAUUUAGUCAAAUUAAUUAAAUCAUUUAACGAUUCUCAGUUAUCAAUUUGAGUUUCCACCUUUAUUUAGUGGCCACAUGGUGAAUACCGUGCCUGCCUUAGGCUUUUCAUUUUAGUUUCUUUCAAAAUAAAAGCGAUGAUCAGGUUGUGGUGGUGGCCAACGCCGCCGUGGCCACCCUGGGUGCGGCACACGCCGACGUGGAUACGGAAGUGAUGGAAGCGGUUCUGGAUACGGACGCGGAUGCCGCGGUGAGGGAAAAAUGAGAUGAUGGUAGCUUGGGUAAAUCAUGUGUAGACUUGGAGGAGAGUCACCGUGGUGGUGGCCAAGUUGACCGUGGCCACCCCGGGUGCGGCACACGCGGACGACGUAGAUACGGAAGUGAUGGAAGCAGACGUGGUCGCGGCGGUUGGGGAAGAAUGGGACGAUGACGGCCAGUAAUAGGAGGGUCUUUUGGGUAAAUCAUGUAUAGACUUGGAGGAGAGUCACCGGUCGUAGCCGCAAGGCGCGGCGGCUGUUGGUGGUUCAGGUCGUACAUAUUUGAUGCUGUUGGGAAUGAAAUGUAGUUCCAGUUGUACAUAUUCAAUAGCUGCGGUUCAGUUGUGUCCGUAAGAUCAUGACGAGCUUCUAGCUUGAAGCUCAUGGUGUUCAACAAUGUUACAACAAU